UACGUAGGGUGCGAGCGUUGUCCGGAAUUAUUGGGCGUAAAGAGCGUGUAGGCGGCCAGACAGGUCCGUUGUGAAAACUCGAGGCUCAACCUCGAGACGCCGAUGGAAACCGUCUGGCUAGAGUCCGGAAGAGGAGAGUGGAAUUCCUGGUGUAGCGGUGAAAUGCGCAGAUAUCAGGAAGAACACCCGUGGCUAAGGCGGCUCUCUAGUACGGUACUGACGCUGAGACGCGAAAGCGUGGGGAGCGAACAGG
rnacentral:rRNA from 1 species